UAUAUUAUAUAAUUAUUUUGAUUUUUUGCACUUAUUGAUUAUUUAUAUAAUUCAUUAUGAUUUCAUAUUCCAUCGCUUUAUUUUAUUUGUUUUUAAAAAAUAAGUUGAUAAAGCCACAUCUUAAUAUUAUUAAUACGACACCUCCUCCUUGCCAUUUCAUAAUUCAUUCACUCUAUUUCCUAUCUAUGACUUCAUCCUUAUUUCCAUUUUUUCUCCUCAAUUCUUGGCUUCUCCUUCCCCCCCUCUCUCCCUUGCCAUUUCAUAAUUCAUUUAUUUUAUCCCAUGUCCUUAUCCAUGUUCCUAUUUCUAGUUCUUAGCCUUCCACUCCAUAUCUAUUGUUCCUCAUUCUCAACCCUCUAUCUCCCAUCCUUCAUUUUCAAUCCUCCAUCUCCUAUCCCUCAAUCUCAACUUUCUACCUACACACCUCUUGUUUCUCCCAUCUCUUAUUCAUAAUCUCCACCUCAUAUUAUUUGUCCUUUAUUCUCAGUCUCUACUUCUUAUCAUUUGUCCUUCAUUCUCAACCCCUUACCCCAUGUCUUUUAUUUUCAAUCUCCUAUUUCAUGUCUCUCAUUCUCAACCUUCCACUUCCCGUCUCUUAUUUUCAAUUGUUAU
rnacentral:lncRNA from 1 species